rnacentral:rRNA from 1 species
AAUGGGCCCGAAACCGGGUGACCUACCCAUGGUCAGGUUGAAGUGGAAGUAAAAUUCCAUGGAGGACCGAACCGACCUCCGUUGAAAAGGCGGCGGAUGAACUGUGGGUAGCGGAGAAAUUCCAAUCGAACCCGGAGAUAGCUGGUUCUCCCCGAAAUAGUUUUAGGACUAGCCUCAAGUUAGAUACCUGGAGGUAAAGCACUGAAUAGCCUAGCGGCCGAGAGGUUAGCGAAGCUUAUCAAACUCAGAAUGCCAGAGUAUUGAUGCUUGGGAGUCAGACAGUGUCAGAUAAAUGUCAUUGUCAAAAGGGAAACAGCCCAGAUCUACAGCUAAGGUCCCAAAGUCAGGUUAAGUGGAAAACGAUGUGAAGAUACGCAGACAACCAGGAUGUUGGCUCAGAAGCAGCCACUCAUUCAAAGAGUGCGUAAUAGCUCACUGGUCGAGCGUCUUUGCGCGGAGAAUUUAACGGGGCUAAACCUGACACCGAAGCUUAGGCAAUACAGCAAUGUAUUGGGUAGGGGAGCGUUGUAUACGCGGAGAAACAGUAGCGCAAGCGGCUGUGGAGUGUAUAGAAGUGAGAAUGCCGGAAUGAGUAGCGCGAAUGCAGUGAGAAUCUGCAUGGCCGAAAGCCUCAGGUUUCUGGAGGAAGGUUCGUCCGCUCCAGGUUAGUCGGGAGCUAAGGUGAGGCCGGAAGGCGUAGCCGAUGCACAGACGGUAGAGAUUCCGUCACCACCAAAAGAGUUAAGCACAGGGACACAUAUGAAGUCUCAGAGCCGGGUGUUGGUUCCGGUAGAGAUCGAGGGAAAUUAGUACCGAAGUCUGAGAUGGAAGAUGGCGAGAAAAGCUGUGUGUAUUUCUGAGGUGCCCGUACCGCAAACCGACACAGGUAGGUAGGAAGAAGAUUCUAAGGCCAACGGGAGAAGGGUUGUUAAGGAACUCGGCAAAUUGACCCCGUAACUUCGGGAGAAGGGGUGCUCCAGAGAUGGAGCCGCAGAGAAUCGGCCCAAGCAACUGUUUACCAAAAACACAGGUUUGUGCUAAAUCGAAAGAUGACGUAUACGAGCUGACGCCUGCCCGGUGCUGGAAGGUUAAGAGGAGAUGUGCAAGCAUUGAAUCGAAGCCCCAGUGAACGGCGGCCGUAACUAUAACGGUCCUAAGGUAGCGAAAUUCCUUGUCAGGUAAGUUCUGACCCGCAUGAAAGGCGUAAUGAUUUGGGCACUGUCUCAACAGCCCGCCCGGCGAAAUUGUAGUACCGGUGAAGAUGCCGGUUACCCGCGACAAGACGGAAAGACCCCAUGGAGCUUUACUGUAGCCUAAUAUUGGGUUUCGAUGUUGCAUGCACAGGAUAGAUGGGACACAGGGAAACAAUCGCUUUGGCGGUUGCGGAGUGGCCGUUGGGAUACCAUCCUUGCGAUAUUGGAAUUCUAACCUGCGGCUCUGAAUCGAGUCGGGGGACAUUGUUAGGUGGGCAGUUUGACUGGGGCGGUCGCCUCCUAAAGAGUAACGGAGGCGUUCAAAGGUUCGCUCAGCUUGAACGGAAAUCAAGCAAAAGAGUGCAAACGCAGAAGCGAGCCUAACUGCGAGACUGACGGGUCGAGCAGUAACGAAAGUUGGAGUUAGUGAUCCGGUGGUAUGUGAGUGGAAAUGCCAUCGCUCAACGGAUAAAAGUUACCCUGGGGAUAACAGGCUGAUCUCCCCCAAGAGUCCACAUCGACGGGGAGGUUUGGCACCUCGAUGUCGGCUCAUCGCAUCCUGGGGCUGUAUUCGGUCCCAAGGGUUUGGCUGUUCGCCAAUUAAAGCGGUACGCGAGCUGGGUUCAGAACGUCGUGAGACAGUUCGGUCCCUAUCUGUCGUGGGCGCAGGAUAUUUGAUGGGAGCUGUCCCUAGUACGAGAGGACCGGGACGGACGUACCUCUGGCGCACCAGUUGUUCCGCCAGGAGCAUAGCUGGGCAACUACGUACGGAUCGGAUAAACGCUGAAAGCAUCUAAGCGUGAAGCCGACCCAAAGAUAAGAUAUCCCACUGAUUGAAUCAGGUAAGAUCCCUUGUAGACUACGAGGUUGAUAGGCACGAUGUGUAAGUGGAGCGAUCCAUUCAGCAAGUGUGUACUAAUAGAUCGAGGGCUUGACCAC